GACGAACGCUGGCGGCGUGCCUAAUACAUGCAAGUAGAACGCUGAAGGAGGAGCUUACUUCUCCGGAUGAGUUGCGAACGGGUGAGUAACGCGUAGGUAACCUGCCUGGUAGCGGGGGAUAACUAUUGGAAACGAUAGCUAAUACCGCAUAACAGUAGAUAUUGCAUGAUAUCUGCUUGAAAGGUGCAAUUGCAUCACUACCAGAUGGACCUGCGUUGUAUUAGCUAGUUGGUGAGGUAACGGCUCACCAAGGCGACGAUACAUAGCCGACCUGAGAGGGUGAUCGGCCACACUGGGACUGAGACACGGCCCAGACUCCUACGGGAGGCAGCAGUAGGGAAUCUUCGGCAAUGGACGGAAGUCUGACCGAGCAACGCCGCGUGAGUGAAGAAGGUUUUCGGAUCGUAAAGCUCUGUUGUAAGAGAAGAACGAGUGUGAGAGUGGAAAGUUCACACUGUGACGGUAUCUUACCAGAAAGGGACGGCUCACUACGUGCCAGCAGCCGCGGUAAUACGUAGGUCCCGAGCGUUGUCCGGAUUUAUUGGGCGUAAAGCGAGCGCAGGCGGUUAGAUAAGUCUGAAGUUAAAGGCUGUGGCUUAACCAUAGUACGCUUUGGAAACUGUUUAACUUGAGUGCAAGAGGGGAGAGUGGAAUUCCAUGUGUAGCGGUGAAAUGCGUAGAUAUAUGGAGGAACACCGGUGGCGAAAGCUGCUCUCUGGCUUGUAACUGACGCUGAGGCUCGAAAGCGUGGGGAGCAAACAGGAUUAUAUACCCUUGUAGUCCAAGGGCGAAUUCCACAGUGGAUAUCUAGCUUUAUCGAUACCGUCGACCUGCGAGGGGGGGAUACAAGUACUACAUGUUUUGGUUCCCCUUUAGUGAGGGGUUAAUUAGGCUUGUGCAUGUAAGGCGUCUGCUAUGUAUGUUGUGUUGCUUGUGUGUGUGUUGGUGUGUGUGAGUGUUUGUGUUGUGUAUGCUG
rnacentral:rRNA from 1 species